rnacentral:rRNA from 1 species
CGUGCCAGCAGUCGCGUUAAUACGUAGGUGCGAGCGUACUCGGAUUCACUGGGCGUAAAGGGUCCGCAGGGGGUUUGCCGAGUCCGGUGUGAAAUCCUGCAGCUCAACUGCAGAACUGCGUUGGAUACUGGUGGACUGGAGUGCACGAUGGGGGAGCGGAAUUCCCGGUGUAGCGGUGGAAUGCGUAGAUAUCGGGAAGAACACCGAUGGCGAAAGCGGCUCUCUGGCGUGCUACUGACCCUCAGGGACGAAAGCGUGGGUAGCAAACAGGAUUAGAUACCCUGGUAGUCCACGCUGUAAACGGUGCGCACUAGAUGUGGGGGUACUUCUGGUCCCGUCCGUGUCCAAGCCAACGCGUUAAGUGCGCCGCCUGGGGACUACGGCUGCAAGGCUAAAACUCAAAGGAAUUGACGGGGGCCCGCACAAGCGGUGGAGCAUGUGGCUCAAUUCGAGGCAACGCGAAGAACCUUACCUGGGUCUGACAUAUACCGGACCGUCCUGGAAACAGGGCUUUUCUCUUUUGAGGACCGGUAUACAGGUGCUGCAUGGCUGUCGUCAGCUCGUGCCGUGAGGUGUUCGGUUAAGUCCGGCAACGAGCGCAACCCGUGUCGCCAGUUGCCAGCGGGUAAUGCCGGGGACUCUGGUGAGACUGCCCGUGUCAAGCGGGAGGAAGGCGCGGAUGACGUCAAGUCCGUAUGGCCCUUACGUCCAGGGCUGCACACGUGCUACAAUGGACGGCACAAUGGGAAGCAAGACCGCGAGGUGGAGCCAAUCCCCAAAACCGUCCCCAGUUCGGAUUGGAGUCUGCAACUCGACUCCAUGAAGCCGGAAUCGCUAGUAAAGGCGUAUCAGCAACGGCGCCUUGAAUACGUUCCCGGGCCUUGUACACACCGCCCGUCACAUCAUGGAAGCCGAGUGCACCCGAAGUUCCGCCUCGAGCGGACCGAAGGUGUGUCCGGUAACUGGGAUGAAGUCGUAACAAG